UACGUAGGGAGCAAGCGUUGUUCGGAUUUACUGGGCGUAAAGGGCGCGUAGGCGGCAGAUUAAGUCAGCUGUGAAAUCUCCGAGCUUAACUCGGAACUGUCAGCUGAUACUGUUUUGCUAGAGUGCGGAAGGGGCAAUCGGAAUUCUUGGUGUAGCGGUGAAAUGCGUAGAUACCAAGAGGAACACCUGAGGUGAAGACGGGUUGCUGGGCCGACACUGACGCUGAGUGCGCGAAAGCCAGGGGAGCAAACGGG
rnacentral:rRNA from 1 species